rnacentral:rRNA from 1 species
AUUGAACGCUGGCGGCAGGCCUAACACAUGCAAGUCGAACGGCAGCGGGGAGUAGCUUGCUACUCUGCCGGCGAGUGGCGGACGGGUGAGUAAUGCCUGGGGAGCUGCCCAAUCGAGGGGGAUACCAGUUGGAAACGACUGCUAAUACCGCAUACGCCCUGAGGGGGAAAGGUGGGGAUCUUCGGACCUACCGCGAUUGGAUGCACCCAGGUGGGAUUAGCUAGUUGGUGAGGUAACGGCUCACCAAGGCGACGAUCUCUAGCUGGUCUGAGAGGAUAACCAGUCACACUGGAACUGAGACACGGUCCAGACUCCUACGGGAGGCAGCAGUGGGGAAUAUUGCACAGUGGGGGAAACCCUGAUGCAGCCAUGCCGCGUGUGUGAAGAAGGCCUUAGGGUUGUAAAGCACUUUCAGCGAGGAGGAAAGGUGGCUAGCUAAUACCUAGUUGCUGUGACGUUACUCGCAGAAGAAGCACCGGCUAACUCCGUGCCAGCCGCCGCCGUAA